UACGGAGGGUGCGAGCGUUGUCCGGAAUCACUGGGCGUAAAGGGCGCGUAGGUGGCCUGUGGAAGUCUGCGGUGAAAGCCCGGCGCUCAACGCCGGGUCGGCCGUGGAUACUCUCGGGCUUGAGCUUACUAGAGGCAGAUGGAAUUCCGGGUGUAGCGGUGGAAUGCGUAGAGAUCCGGAAGAACACCGGUGGCGAAGGCGGCAUCCUGGACCGACACUGACGCUGAGGAGCGAAAGCCAGGGGAGCAAACGGG
rnacentral:rRNA from 1 species